rnacentral:rRNA from 1 species
UACGGAGGGUGCAAGCGUUAUCCGGAUUCACUGGGUUUAAAGGGUGCGUAGGCGGGCAGGUAAGUCCGUGGUGAAAUCUCUGAGCUUAACUCAGAAACUGCCAUGGAUACUAUUUGUCUUGAAUAUUGUGGAGGUGAGCGGAAUAUGUCAUGUAGCGGUGAAAUGCUUAGAUAUGACAUAGAACACCGAUUGCGAAGGCAGCUAGCUAAACCGACAUUGACGCUGAGGCACGAAAGCGUGGGGAUCAAACAGG